rnacentral:rRNA from 1 species
AUUGAACGCUGGCGGCAUGCUUUACACAUGCAAGUCGGACGAGUGGCGAACGGGUGAGUAACAUAUCGGAACGUACCGAGUAAUGGGGGAUAACUAAUCGAAAGAUUAGCUAAUACCGCAUAUUAUUCGAGCGGCCGAUAUCGGAUUAGCUGGUUGGUGGGGUAAAGGCCUACCAAGGCGACGAUCAGUAGCGGGUCUGUGAGGAAGAUCGGCCAGUCUGGGACUGGUACACGGCCCAGACUCCUACGGUAGGCAGCAGUGGGGAAUUUGGGACAAUGGGCGCAAGCCUGAGCCAGCCAGGCGUCGUGUCUGAAGAAGGCCUUCGGGUUGUAAAGUACUUUUGUCAGGGAAGCGGUACCUGAAGAAUAAGCACCGGCUAACUACGUGCCAGCCGCCGCGGUAAUUC